UUUACUAUAGCUUGACACUGAACAUUGAGCCUUGAUGUGUAGGAUAGGUGGGAGGCUUUGAAGUGUGGACGCCAGUCUGCAUGGAGCCGACCUUGAAAUACCACCCUUUAAUGUUUGAUGUUCUAACGUGGACCCGUAAUCCGGGUUGCGGACAGUGUCUGGUGGGUAGUUUGACUGGGGCGGUCUCCUCCUAAAGAGUAACGGAGGAGCACGAAGGUUGGCUAAUCCUGGUCGGACAUCAGGAGGUUAGUGCAAUGGCAUAAGCCAGCUUGACUGCGAGCGUGACGGCGCGAGCAGGUGCGAAAGCAGGUCAUAGUGAUCCGGUGGUUCUGAAUGGAAGGGCCAUCGCUCAACGGAUAAAAGGUACUCCGGGGAUAACAGGCUGAUACCGCCCAAGAGUUCAUAUCGACGGCGGUGUUUGGCACCUCGAUGUCGGCUCAUCACAUCCUGGGGCUGAAGUAGGUCCCAAGGGUAUGGCUGUUCGCCAUUUAAAGUGGUACGCGAGCUGGGUUUAGAACGUCGUGAGACAGUUCGGUCCCUAUCUGCCGUGGGCGCUGGAGAAUUGAGGGGGGCUGCUCCUAGUACGAGAGGACCGGAGUGGACGCAUCACUGGUGUUCGGGUUGUCAUGCCAAUGGCACUGCCCGGUAGCUAAAUGCGGAAGAGAUAAGUGCUGAAAGCAUCUAAGCACGAAACUUGCCCCGAGAUGAGUUCUCCCUGACUCCUUGAGAGUCCUGAAGGAACGUUGAAGACGACGACGUUGAUAGGCCGGGUGUGUAAGCGCAGCGAUGCGUUGAGCUAACCGGUACUAAUGAACCGUGAGG
rnacentral:rRNA from 1 species